AAAGCUUCGGAACUCUAAAGGUUUACAUUCAAAUUCUUGAAAGGGUUUUGGAACAUCUUGGAAGUUGACUUCACCAAGGCUGUAAAGCACUUCAAAUCUAUGACUCAAAUCUGAUAGGGGUGUAGCUCAUCAUUUAUAUUGCUUAUUCCAAAAAUCCAAGAUUGUUUGUCACUCUCGAAUUAUAGACCUAUAAGUCUAAUAUGGUGUUUCACAAGGUAACCUCCAAGAUCCUUGUUUUGCUGUAACGCCCGAUUUUCAAGUAUGAAAUAUUUCUUUCAAGUCUUUGGAUCUUACUAACCACAUCGUGACUGAUGGACUGCCACGACAUGACCUCAUUUAAAUGAAUGUGCAGAUUCUUUGAUCCCCACGGUGUGGUCGUGUAAUGGCCACAUCAUGGUGGCUAUUUUAUGACAAACCCUAAAUUUUCGGGUCUUAAGCCCUAUUUCAAGUAAGUGAUAGCUAGAGUUUUUUCCCUUCUUAGCCUCCAUCACACUCUAAACUCAAAAAUCUAAACCCUAGCUUCCUUUUCAUGAUUUGAGCUCACUUUGGUGCCUUUUGUGAUCUUUGAUAGAAGAAGAACGAGCUUAGGGGGUGUUUGGUAGGCAAGAAUAAAAGGAGGAAUGAAAUGGGAUAUUCAGGGGUAAUGAAAAAAACAUGUUUAGUACGUAUUUCAUGAUUUGAGCUCACUUUGGUGCCUUUUGUGAUCUUUGAUGGAAGAAGAACGAGCUUUAGGGGGUGUUUGGUAGGCAAGAAUAAAAGGAGGAAUGAAAUGGGAUAUUCAGGGGUAAUGAAAAAAACACGUUUAGUACGUAUAAGGAAAGGAAAGCCCUAUUCUUGAAGCAAUCCCAUUCCCCUAAAACACGGGAUUUUCAUUCCAUGGGGUAACCCCGUUUUUUUUCAUUCCAUUCCCUCCUUAUAAUUGUAUCUUCCGAAAUUGCCCCUCUAUCAGCCUCUCAAAUCGGAAGCGUAGGCACGAUAUCACUAAAAAUCAACAUUGCAUCUUCAACUGAUUGAGGAAAAGAUAUCGAUUUUGCAUUUGGAUAUCAUAAUCGCAACGUUUUCCCUCACAAACGUUGACUAAUUUCCAACGAAAUCAUUAUAAAAUUGUUUUCUAUGAAUCAUUACAUGAUCGACCACCAAAGCUUCAAGACAAUUUCAAGUAUAUUUCAUCACGGCUCCAAGAAUUU
rnacentral:lncRNA from 1 species